UACGUAGGUGGCAAGCGUUGUCCGGAAUUAUUGGGCGUAAAGAGCUCGUAGGCGGUUCGUCGCGUCGGCUGUGAAAUCCCGAGGCUCAACCUCGGGUCUGCAGUCGAUACGGGCGGACUGGAGUUCGGCAGGGGAGACUGGAAUUCCUGGUGUAGCGGUGAAAUGCGCAGAUAUCAGGAGGAACACCGGUGGCGAAGGCGGGUCUCUGGGCCGAUACUGACGCUGAGGAGCGAAAGCGUGGGGAGCGAACAGG
rnacentral:rRNA from 1 species